UCCCUACGGGAGGCAGCAGUGAGGAAUAUUGGUCAAUGGGCGGGAGCCUGAACCAGCCAAGUCGCGUGAGGGAAGACGGUCCUAUGGAUUGUAAACCUCUUUAGGCGGGGAGCAAUGCCGGGCACGCGUGCCCGGAGGGAGAGUACCCGCAGAAUAAGCAUCGGCUAACUCCGUGCCAGCAGCCGCGGUAAUACGGAGGAUGCGAGCGUUAUCCGGAUUUAUUGGGUUUAAAGGGUGCGUAGGCGGACAGUCAAGUCAGCGGUAAAAAUGCGGUGCUCAACGCCGUACAGCCGUUGAAACUGGCA
rnacentral:rRNA from 1 species